rnacentral:misc_RNA from 1 species
GAAUAACGCUUAGGUCUUCGCUUCGGCAAGGCCUUUGCACCCCUCACAUCCAUAACACCUGUGAACCGUAAGAUGUGGUGAAUUCGUUUGCCCAUCUGCCCUUUUUAUAAACAUCAUUAGUAACAAAAGUAGUCUUAUUAUAAUCUAAUAAAACUUUCAACAACGGAUCUCUUGGCUCU